AAGUGGCGAAGAAAGAUCGACACUUGGCGGCAGAGAUAACAGAAAACCAUGGGCGAGUUUCAUCAGUUUCUUCAACACCACCCACAUGUAACGCUUGAUUCGACUUAGAGUGUAACGCCCGUAGUGAGUGGUGGGCCUCCGAUACAUGGUAGCCACGUUCGAAUUCGAGAUCGCUUUAAACGACGAGCUAUGGUUUGUUAACGCAUAGUAUGAAGAAGAAGAAGACCCGCCAAAGAUGGAUCUUUGUUUUUUUUUUUUUUUUUAAUGCUUUUUCACUUUCAUGUUUUGUUAUUUCUGAUUUCAUCCGUAUUUAUGUUUUUUUUUGUUUUUGUUUUGUUCCAUACUCUUUUUUCGUAUGUUCUGUUCCUUGAGUUUUGGUUGUUUAAAUUGUAGGUGUUUUUUUUUUUUUUGGUCAAACAAUUAAAUUGCAGGUUUUGAUUAUUUAAUUUGUAGAAUUUGUGUUUGCUAAGUUGCAGGUUUGGUUUGUCUAAGCUACAUAGAUUGUAGGUUUUGGUGAAUUAAUUAAUUUGCAGAAUUUGGCUGUCGAAGUUGCAGGUUUUAGAUGUCUAAAUUGCAGGUUUUGGUUUUGAUUUAUAUAAGUUGCAGAUUUGGUUUGAAAAAUUUGCAGGUUUUGGUUUUCUAAGUUGAUUGCAGGUUUUAAGUGAAUUAUUUCAGGUUUAGUUGAUCUCUCUUUGGUUUUUUUCUUUUGCAAAAGAUUUGGCGUUUCUUUCUUUUACAUGGUUUCUUAUGCUAGGCUCCAUGAAGAUGAUCAGAGAGUCACAUUACCACCAGAGUUGCUGGAACAAUGUUAGGAGAUAUGGCUCCUGAAUAUGCAAUGAGGGGUCACCUAACAGAAAAGGCAGAUUUUUACAGCUUCGGUGUGGUGGUAAUGUCGCUUUUUAGCUGAAAGAACAUCACAAAAUAGACUCCAGAUGAGGAAUGAUAAAGGUUUCACUUUAAUGCUCAAACAAGUCUCCGACAUUAAGGCCAAGCAAGUCGGGAGUUGUAAAGAUGCUUGAAGGGGAGCACAUCAUCAGACCUUGGAGUGUAUGGUGCUGACUUGCGCUUCAAUCCAUCAGCUUUUCCUUCUGAUGGCAUCAUGUCAGAUUACGCCGUCCUCUGAAUCUACUUAUGAUCUCAUUCACUCAAUGAUCUGUACUCACUCAAUUUUGGUGCAAAGAAAACACAUAUGUUAGCUAACCAACGGUGCAUCACAAAUGAUUACAAUAACUUAUCUUACUUUUGACAAGGGGGAUAGUUGUUUUACUAGUGUUUGAUUUACAUGAUCAAAUUUAUUCAAUUCAAUUUCCACA